rnacentral:rRNA from 1 species
AUUAACGCUAGCGGUGCGCCUAAUACAUGCAAGUCGAGCGUCCCGCCUCGGCGGGAAGCGGCGGACGGCUGAGUAACACGUUGGUACCUACCUCAAACUCAGGGAUAGCUCACCGAAAGGUGAAUUAAUACCGGAUAGUCCCGUAAGGGUAAAGAUUUAUCGGUUUGAGAGGGGCCUGCGGCCUAUCAGCUUGUUGGUGGGGUAAUUGCCUACCAAGGCUAUGACGGGUAACUGGUGUGAGAGCACGACCAGUCAGAAUGGAACUGAGAACGGUCCAUACUCCUACGGGAGGCAGCAGUAAGGAAUUUUCCGCAAUGGGCGAAAGCCUGACGGAGCGACACCGCGUGGAGGAUUAAGUCUUUCGGGGCGUAAACUCCUUUUCUGAGUGAAUAAAUUCUGAAGUUAACUCAGGAAUAAGCACCGGCUAACUACGU